rnacentral:rRNA from 1 species
UACAGAGGGUGCGAGCGUUAAUCGGAAUUACUGGGCGUAAAGCGUGCGUAGACGGUUAUUUAAGUCGGGUGUGAAAGCCCCGGGCUCAACCUGGGAACUGCAUUCGAGACUGCAUAGCUAGAGUAUGGGAGAGGGAAGUGGAAUUUCAGGUGUAGCGGUGAAAUGCGUAGAUAUCUGGAGGAACACCGGUGGCGAAGGCGGCAUCCUGGACCGGCAUUGACGCUGAGGCGCGACAGCGUGGGGAUCAAACAGG